rnacentral:sRNA from 1 species
GUAUUGGGAAGGCAGAUAAAAUGCCAGGUCUGGACUGCCUCUGGGCAUAACCUCACCCUGUGGGAUGUGAAUGAAUAGCAUCUUGCCUGGUAAAUCCACAGGAAUUGAUAAGGCAGGCGCAGUUCUCCCAAACAGGCCUUUUCUCUUUAAGCUGUAGCUGUGGUUUCUGCAGCAAUUUUGUUUUUGCCUUGAAAGAGGUGCUCUGGAUUAUCAGACCUCCAUGUAUGACAAUUUGUACCUGCAUGGAAUUGAAGACUCGGAGGCUGGUUCAGCGGAUUCCUACACAAGCAGGCCGUCUGACUCCGAUGUCUCUUUGGAAGAGGACCGGGAAGCAAUUCGACAGGAGAGAGAACAGCAAGCAGCUAUCCAGCUUGAGAGAGCAAAGUCCAAACCUGUAGCAUUUGCCGUGAAGACAAAUGUGAGCUACUGCGGCGCCCUGGAUGAGGAUGUGCCUGUUCCAAGCACAGCUAUCUCCUUUGAUGCUAAAGACUUUCUACAUAUUAAAGAGAAAUAUAACAAUGAUUGGUGGAUAGGAAGGCUGGUGAAAGAGGGCUGUGAAAUUGGCUUCAUUCCAAGUCCACUCAGAUUGGAGAACAUACGGAUUCAGCAAGAACAAAAAAGAGGACGUUUUCACGGAGGGAAAUCAAGUGGAAAUUCUUCUUCAAGUCUUGGAGAAAUGGUAUCUGGGACAUUUCGAGCAACUCCCACGUCAACAGCAAAACAGAAGCAAAAAGUGACGGAGCACAUUCCUCCUUACGAUGUUGUGCCGUCAAUGCGUCCGGUGGUGUUAGUGGGGCCGUCACUGAAAGGUUACGAGGUACAAAUAUCAUCUGUUACUCUUCAGUUCUUGAUCGAGCACCCAGGAGACAGUCAUGUUGACGCUUGCUCCUCAAGGGUCUGUUUCCACGUGGGUCCUGAUGGAAGCCAGUGCUCAGCACGGGAAGGCAGGGGGUACCGUGUGGGGCUCAUGAGGCCCUCUGCCCUUUCUUUCCUCUGUUGCACACUUCUCAUCUUUUAUGUAUUACAUUGUUUAGAAAUACCUCCCUCAAAAUAUUUACAAUGGGAAGAUCUGGUCAAAGAUUUGCUGUACAUUAAAUGCAAAGAAAAGGACUUUAUCUAUCUUGACCAUUCUCAUUAUUAUUAGAAGUAAUAGAGAAUGAACAGCACAAGAGGACAAACAAUCAAUCUUCCAGCAAACCCAAACCUUUAAAGCCCAAACAGAGUUCACCCUGCUGGGUUUUUAAGAUGAUGGCAUAUGCCACCAAAUCCUUCUCUGCUUAUUUAUUUUAAAGGGCACAUGUUUUAAAAGACCACUAAAAACAUUAGUGAACUUUGGAGAUUAAACAAAACCAUGUGACAAGGAAAAGAGUAGAGACUUCGUUUCAGAUGUUUGUUUUGACUUUGUGCUAGCUUGGAUUAAAAAAUAGGUAGACGUGACAUUAAACUCUGAAGGUGAGCAGCCUCCAGGGCACCAUUCCCAUCGAGCUAGGACAAUGUGUGGCACAUAGUAGGCACUCAGUACACAUUUGCUGAAUGAAUUAAUGAAUCGCUUUCAGGCAGAUCUAAGAAUCCUGGCUCUAUCCGCCUCUCUUUCUCUCUUGUCUUUCUCAGAGUUGGGAAUGUCAGAGGGAUGAGCAGGAGAGUGGUCUACAAAAAUCCAGCCAUGGGCAUGGAGAAUUUCUGCCAACAUACACAAACUAGCAGGAAGGCUGAGUCCAGUGCUGGCCUCAGUUCUCUAGCUGCUCCUCACUGGAGGCAGGCACAACUCAGGCGUGCCAAGGAUACCCGGCACCUGUGUACAAAGCCAGCCUGUUGUCUCCUGGCAGCAGUUCUAUCCCCUAACGAGGGAAGAGGGAAGAGGGAAGAGGGUCUGGUGAACACUGCUGGUUUAUUCCUCAACACCCUGGAGGAGAACCAAGGGGGGUGGAAAUUAGCAAUUGCACAUGGUUAAGCAUGAAAAACACCUUCCAUGGUAACCUCCCCCUAGGAGACGAAUGGCUACAAUAAGGUCUUGGCUCAUAGUGCCCUUCCCUCCCUCCUCUCUCCCUUUUGACUUCUCUCUCUCUCUCUCUGUGUGUUUGCCUCAUUCUUUUUUUCUCACCUCUGCAAAGGUAACAGACAUGAUGCAGAAAGCCCUCUUUGAUUUCCUGAAGCACAGGUUUGAUGGGAGGAUAUCAAUAACGAGAGUGACAGCUGACAUUUCUCUUGCUAAGAGGUCUGUCCUAAAUAAUCCCAGCAAGAGAGCAAUAAUUGAACGUUCGAACACCCGGUCCAGCUUAGCGGAAGUACAAAGUGAAAUUGAAAGAAUCUUUGAGUUGGCAAGAUCUUUGCAACUGGUCGUUCUUGAUGCAGACACCAUCAAUCACCCAGCACAACUUAUAAAGACUUCCUUAGCACCAAUUAUUGUUCAUGUAAAAGUCUCAUCUCCAAAGGAAAUGUUUGAUGUUAUAUUGGAUGAAAAUCAGCUUGAGGAUGCGUGUGAACAUCUAGGGGAGUACCUGGAGGCGUACUGGCGUGCCACCCACACAACCAGUAGCACACCCAUGACCCCGCUGCUGGGAAGGAAUUUGGGCUCCACGGCACUCUCACCAUAUCCCACAGCAAUUUCUGGGUUACAGAGUCAGCGAAUGAGGCACAGCAACCACUCCACAGAGAACUCUCCAAUUGAAAGACGAAGUCUAAUGACCUCUGAUGAAAAUUAUCACAAUGAAAGGGCUCGGAAGAGUAGGAACCGCUUGUCUUCCAGUUCUCAGCAUAGCCGAGAUCAUUACCCUCUUGUGGAAGAAGAUUACCCUGACUCAUACCAGGACACUUACAAACCCCAUAGGAACCGAGGAUCACCUGGGGGAUAUAGCCAUGACUCCCGACAUAGGCUUUGAGUCUAAUGAAACAAAAAAUAUUCAUCUGUUGACAAUUUGCCAUAGCAGUGCUAGGAUAAACCAAUCAUCUUAACU